rnacentral:lncRNA from 1 species
UCCAGCAGCCCGGCCACCGCCAGUCUACGCUCCCCGCGCUGCCCCAGCCACCGCCUCUGUACCCUUAGCGCAGGCCGGUACCUGGGGAAUAGCACGCGCUGAGGCGAAGCCAGGUGCUUCCGCCUGCUGCAGGUGCCCCGCCCAGCUGAUGCCAGAAAUGGAGGUUGCUUGUGCCCAGCUGUUUGGUGCCGUGGCUGCUUCGCCUCCCGCGCCCACCUCUCAGGUUUUUCCAAUACGUGCUAUAAACAAGCUUAGUCAAAGAAAGCCCUUUAAAAACAACAUAAGGAAGCUGCGAAAGAUGUUAAGAAAGCACAAGAGCUGCCAGACUGAUGAGUUGAAUGAAGAAGGACCAGGGCUACAGCAGAGAAAACAGCGUGAAGGUGCUAAGCCUGUUACAAAUGGGCUGUGCCUUCUU